UACGUAGGGGGCAAGCGUUGUCCGGAAUCAUUGGGCGUAAAGAGCGUGUAGGCGGCUCGAUAAGUCUGCUGUGAAAGUCCAGGGCUCAACCCUGGAAGGCCGGUGGAAACUGUCGGGCUAGAGUCCGGAAGAGGGAUGCGGAAUUCCAGGUGUAGCGGUGAAAUGCGUAGAUAUCUGGAGGAACACCGGUGGCGAAGGCGGCAUCCUGGACCGGUAUUGACACUGAGGCGCGAAAGCCAGGGGAGCAAACGGG
rnacentral:rRNA from 1 species